CAGACAUGGUAAAUUGUAUCAAUAUAUUCACGUGUAAUUACCUCCCAAAAUGAAAUGCCAAUGGGACUUUCAUAAAGAACUACACAUCUUGUCGCAAAGUAUGACGUCAUCCCUCAAGGCACAUUUCUCCACGCAAACUCCUCGACAAGUAGCCUAGCAAGAAACAGAUAAUAUAGGCGUUUCAGUUUCUCGUGUGUAUAUCAUUUUUAUUUAUUUAUUGCAUAGCUUGCUACCUUAGCGUCUUUAAAUUAUUAUAAUUUAUUAAGUUACCCUCUGCCUUUGUAGAUAACUAGCUUAGGUCUCUCCGUCGACCAGAAGCAAGGAUGGUUCUGUGCUAUGUAACAUUACCGGAUUGUAACCACUACUCCAAUAAGCACAUGUUCAUGUUAUCGUUUUCCAACCUCUAAGUGAGAGGCAUCGCUAGAGCUGUGUGAUAAGAUGGACGGACCGGAAACAACACUCACGUCUGUAGCUGCCAUUUUCCAGUGGGAAAGAGAGAUGGCUCUGUAUUUACCAGAGUAGGUAGUUCAUCCAUCAUGGUGGAUGAGGAAGAUCCAUCAUGGUGGAUGAGGAAGAUCCAGACUGGGGAUUGGGAAUCAUAAACAAACCAAUAGGAUUGAGUGUCCAACAGGAGUGAAUCCCUCAGGCUACCCGGUGCAUGGACAUCCUGUGGCAGUGUGAUCCGGUUGUGGAGACGACAGCAGAUCGAGCCUGUGGACAGACAGACAGGAGGCGUGACAUGUGAAACAUCAGGCGCUCAUCAUGAGAAGCAGUGCAUGAUCAACACCAGCCUCAGCAAGGAGAUCUUGUCACAGCUGUUGAAGGAUGAGGACCAAGGUAGACUGGUAUCAGGCUAUAGCGGCAGCUGCCACGGAUGCGUGGAGAAACAUCUGUUCCUCAACAUGUCUGUCUUCCGCACACCAA